GACGAACGCUGGCGGCGUGCCUAAUACAUGCAAGUCGAACGAAGCUGUUUUAACUGGUGCUUGCACCGACUUAAACAACUGAGUGGCGAACGGGUGAGUAACACGUGGGUAACCUGCCCCAAAGCGGGGGAUAACAUUUGGAAACAGAUGCUAAUACCGCAUAACCACAGAAACCACAUGGUUUCUUUGUCAAAGAUGGUUUCGGCUAUCACUUUGGGAUGGACCCGCAGCGUGUUAGCUCGUUGGUAAGGUAAUGGCUUACCAAGGCAAUGACACGGAGCCGAACCGAGAGGUUGAUCGGCCACAUUGGGACUGGAACACAGCCCAAACUCCUACGGGAGGAAGCAGUAGGGAAUCGUCCGCAAUGGACGAAAGUCUGAUGGAGCAACGCCGCGUGAGUGAAGAAGGUUUUCGGAUCGUAAAACUCUGUUGUCAGAGAAGAACGUGUGCAAGAGUAACUGCUCGUGCAGUGACGGUAUCUGGCCAGAAAGCCACGGCUAACUACGUGCCAGCCGCCGCCGUAA
rnacentral:rRNA from 1 species